CCGGCCAGCUGGUCUGCGCAUGCUCUGAGGGCGCGGCUGGGGAUGCCGUCUGGGCCUGCAGCCUUGCGAGGGUUAACACUUUUAAAUGUCUUACUCACCUCUUACUCACCUCGGCUGCAGUGAAGGAGAGACCGCAUGUUUUCGUUGCAGGCCGUGUCAGUGGCACUGUAUUGUCCUCAAAGCGGGCAAAAAAAUUAUUUAGUCUGCCUGGGAGCAAGACAUCCUGGUCCGUGACUGGGCUGGGUUUCUUCUUGUCGUCCGUGAUUGACUGUAGACCCUGCCACAUGCCUCUUGUGUCUGAGCCGUUGUAUUGAGAUUCUAAUUUGUCUCUGUACUGACGCUUAGCUUGUUUGAUAGCCUUGCGGAGGGAAUAGCUGCACUGUUUGUAUUCGGUCAUGUUACCAGACACCUUGCCCUGAUUAAAAGCAGUGGUUCGCGCUUUCAGUUUCACGCGAAUGCUGCCAUCAAUCCACGGUUUCUGGUUAGGGAAUGUUUUUAUCGUUGCUAUGGGAACGACAUCUUCAACGCACGUUCUAAUGAACUCGCACACCGAAUCAGCGUAUUCGUCAAUAUUGUUAUCUGACGCAAUACGAAACAUUUCCCAGUCCACGUGAUGGAAGCAGUCUUGGAGUGUGGAGUCAGCUUGGUCGGACCAGCGUUGGACAGACCUCAGCGUGGGAGCCUCUUGUUUUAGUUUCUGUCUGUAGGCAGGGAUCAACAAAAUGGAGUGAUUAUAAUCAAAGAGAAUUCUCUUGGAAGAUAAUGCGGUCUACAUUUGAUUGUGAGGAAUUCUAAAUCAGGUGAACAGAGGAUUUGAGUUCCUGUAUGUUUCCUUCAUCACACCAUGUCUCGUUAGUCAUGAGGCAUACGCCCCCGCCACUCUUCUUACCAGAAAGAUAUCAGAAGAUAUCAGAAGUUUCUAAAGCCAUGAAUUUUCCAAGCUGUUUAAAGGCACAGUCAACUUAGUGUAUGCAAACAUCUGACCCACUGGAAUUGUGAUACAAUAAUAAUUAUAAGUGAAAUAAUCCGUCUGUAAACAAUUGUUAGAAAAAUUACUUGUGUUUUUUAAUUUAAUUUUAAUUUAAUUUAACCUUUAUUUUACUAGGCAAGUCAGUUAAGAACAAAUUCUUAUUUUCAAUGACGGCCUAGGAACAGUGGGUUAACUGCCUGUUGAGGGGCAGAACGACAGAUUUGUACCUUGUCAGCUCAGGGAUUUGAACUUGCAACCUUCCGGUUAGUAGUCCAACGCUCUAACCACCCCAUGUCAUGCACAAAGUAGAUGUCCUAACCGACUUGCCAAAACUAUAGUUUGUAAACAAGAAAUUGUUGGAGUGGUUGAAAAAUGAGUUUCAAUCACUCCAACCUAAGUGUAUGUAAACUUCCGACUUCAACUGUAUGUAUAGAAAUGGUUCAAGUGACUAUGCAUAUAUAAUGAACAGAGAGCAGCAGCAGCAUAAAAGAGGGGUUGGCAGGAGGUGGGUGGAGGGACACAAUGCAGAUUUCCCGGCUAGCCAAUCAGCGGGAGCACUGGUUGGUCGGGCUACUUGAGGUAGUAUGUACAUAUGUACAUGAAUGUAUAGUUAAAGUGACUAUGCAUAUAUGAUAAACAGAGAGUAGCAGCAGCGUAAAAAGAGGGGUUGGGGGGAGGCACACAAUGCAAAUAGUCCGGGUAGCCAUUUGAUUACCUGUUCAGGAGUCUUAUGGCUUGGGGGUAAAAACUGUUGAGAAGCCUUUUUGUCCUAGACUUGUCACUCCGGUACUGCUUGCCAUGUGGUAGUAGAGAGAACAGUCUAUGACUGCCUGGGGUCUUUGACAAUUUUUAAGGCCUCCUCUGACACCACCUGGUGUAGAGUUCCUGGAUGGCAGGCAGCUUAGCCCCAGUGAUGUACUGAGCCGUACGCACUUCCCUCUGAAGUGCCUUGCGGUCAGAGGACAAGCAAGUGCCGUACCAGGCAGUGAUGCUCUUGAUUUUAAUUUAUAUAUUCAUUAUUUUGCCAGGUAAGUUGACAGAACACAUUCUCAUUUACAGCAAUGACCUGGGGAAUAGUUACAGUGGAGAGGAGAUGAAGGAGCCAAUUGUAAACUGGGGAUUAUUAAGUGCCCGUGAUGGUUAGAUUGGGAAUUUAGCAAGUACCCCAGGGAUAACACCCCUACUCUUACAAUAAGUGCCAUGGGAUCUUCAAUGACCUCAGAGAGUCAAGACAUCCAUUUAUUGUCCCAUCCAAUAGACUGCACCCUACACAGUCAAUCAAUCACUGCCCUGGGGCAGAGGGAUAUUUUUUUAGACCAGAGGAAAGAGUGCCUCCUAAUGGCCCUUCAACACCACUUCCAACGGAAUCUGGUCUCCCAUCCACAGACUGACCAGGACCAACCCAGGACCAACCCUGCUUAGCUUCAGAAGCAAGCCAGCAGUGGUAUGCAGGGUGGUAUGCUGCUGGCAGCUAACCCUAACCCUAAGCUGUAGAACCUUUUGAGUAUCUCAGGACCCAUGCCAAAUCUUUUUAGUUUCCUGAGGGGGAAUAGGCUUUGUCGUGCCCUCUUCACGACUGUCUUGGUGUGUUUGGACCAUUCUAGUUUGUUGGUGAUGUGGACACCAAGGAACUUGAAGCUUUCCACUUGCUCCACUGUUGCCCUGUCGAUGAGAAUGGGGGCGUGCUCGGUCCUCCUUUUCCUCAAGUCCACAAUCAUCUCGUUAGUCUUGGUUACGUUGAGGGAUAGAUAAGUGUUCCUUUUUUCCAGGUGAGAAAGGGCAUGUAUGACGUUCCUUGUAGUCUGUAAACAUUAUUUUUAUUACCAUAUCAUUUUUGUAUGUUCUCUAUACGUACUUGAAAAUUUGCACACAUACCGCUGCCAUCUGGUGGCGCAAAUCUAAAUUGCGCCUAGAUUCAUAUCAUGUUAUGGCCUUUCUGAGAUGAUGAAAAAAAGUCUAAUUCGAAAAAAUUGUUUUUUGUUUGUAUUAUCUUUUACCAGAUCUAAUGUGUUAUAUUCUAUUACAUUAAUUUCACAUUUACACAAAAAUGUUCCUUUCAAAUGGUAUCAAUAAUAUGCAUAUCCUUGCUUCAGGUCAGAGCUACAGGCAGUUAGAUUGAACAAUUCUUAAAUCUAAAAGGUACUACAAUCAAAUGAUAGUAAAUCAGCUUUUUAGUACCCAUGUGGAUUGUACUUUGGAAAAAAGCUGUACUUUAAUUUAAGGAAACAUUUUAUAUUUUAGUUUUACAGAACAUGCACAUUUAAACUGUCAUUUUGCUGUAAAAACACUUUUUUAAUUAGAUUUUUUUAGGUAACAUUAUUUACAUAUCAUGAUGUUUUGAUAAGAAUGUUGUGACAUGGAAUGUGGGGUUUGUUGUCACUAUCAGCUCCAUUAUAACCAUAUCGUUCUGGAACAUUGCCACGGCCAGUAUAUAAUGAAUCCCUGUAUAGGAAAAGGGAUGCCAUUUGGGAAGCAGAUAAACAUCUCCCCGUGUUCCUAAUAAUCAGUGUUAUGGUGGCUCUGUCAUUAGCCAGCCACUCUGAUAGAACAAAUAUAGCCUUCGAGGACAAAGGUACACUUCAAACACUCAUGUACACUUCAAACAUUCAGGAUUAGCCAUCCUGUGUGAGUGGUGCACGCACCCACUAUACACACUUCCACAAGUAUGGUAGUAUAGAAAUGCAAUGUGGUUGUGUUGCCCUCUGGUGGUUGAGUUAAGUAAGUGAGGUGGAGGAGCAGAGUUUAAUUGAGUGAAUGAGUUGAGUCUUAGUUGUGUAUCCUACUCUCUGUAAUAGAGGAGAUUGUGUGAAAGGGCAGAGGAUUUGGAUGAGGUUUUGUUCUCCAUGUUAAUGCUGGAUCAAACUUUCCUUUCCUUAGGUUAUUCUUGUUGUUUCUUCAAAUGAAUCUAUUCAUUAUUUUCUGAUCCUGUAUCUGUGUAGUCAUGUUAUUAUUUCAUAUUAUGGAUAUUUAUGGUUAUUUUAUUGUUUUUCUUUCUUAUUUAAUUUUGUACUAUUGGCCUAACAUUAAAACAAAUUAAUAUACAGGUUUAAAUGUAAACACUUCAUUUUCAUGUUAAUGUCACAUCAUUUGUUUUUUGUCAAAGUAUUUCUCCCACACCUUCUUGCAUUCAGAGUCAUCCUCCACCGUCACUGCCACUUCCAUCAAAACGCUGGAACCCUGGUUGUUGUUCGAGUUAGUCUUGCCCCAACCAGCUACGGAGCAUUUAGGGGAUGCUGGGAGAUGUUCAUCCUCCUUUGGGAGUCCAAAGUCUUGGUUAGAUGAGCUGUGGUCCUUAACUAUAAGAGGAAAUAAAAAUAAAAUAAAAUGAGAUAAAAUUAUUAUAUUCUAUUUGUAUAAUUCAGAAUAAACCUUGAAUUAAACUCUAUAAAUAUUCAUGUCAAGAUUUUCAAAAUAUGCUUUUCAACCAUAGCAAAACAAGCAUUUGUGUAAGAUUAUUGAUAGCUAGCAUAGCAUUUAGCGUAGCAUUCAGCAUGCAACAUUUUCACAAAAACAAGAAAAAGCAUUCAAAUAAAAUCAUUUACCUUUGAAGAACUUCAGAUAUUUUCAAUGAGGAGACUCUCAGUUAGAUAGCAAAUGUUCAGUUUUUACAAAAAUAUUAUUUGUGUAGGACAAAUCGCUCCGUUUUGUUCAUCGCGUUUGGCUGCGAAAAAAACCUGAAUCCAGGAGUGUAAUUCUCUAGGCAAGCUCAUUAGCAUAACACAACGUUAACUAUUCAUGAAUAUCGCAAAUGAAAUGAAAUAAAUAUAUUAGCUCUCAAGCUUAGCCUUUUGUUAACAACACUGUCAUCUCAGAUUUUCAAAAUAUGCUUUUGAACCAUAGCUAAACAAGCAUUUGUGUAACAGUAUUGAUAGCCUAGCAUAGGAUUAAGCCUGGCAUUCAGCAUGCAACAUUUUCACAAAAACAAAAAAAGCAUUCAAAUAAAAAUAUUUUACCUUUGAAGAACUUCAGAUGUUUUCAAUGAGGAGACUCUCAGUUAGAUAGCAAAUGUUCAGUUUUUACAAAAAGAUUAUUUGUGUAGACAAAUCGCUCAGUUUUCUUCAUCACGUCUGGGUAAGAAAAACCCGAAAAUGAAGUCAUUAAAAAGCUAACUUUUUUCCAAAUUAACUCCAUAAUAUCGACAGAAACAUGGCAAACGUUGUUUAGAAUCAAUCCUCAAGGUUUUUUUCACAUAUCUAUUCGAUGAUAAAUCAUUCGUGGCAGUUUAGUUUCUUCUCUGAAGAAAUGGAACGCGCAUGGACCUGGAGAAUACGCAAUAAUUUCGACGCAGGACACCGGGCGGACACCUGGUAAAUGUAGUCUCUUAUGGUCAAUCUUCCAAUGAUAUGCCUACAAAUACCUCACAAUGCUGCAGACACCUUGGGGAAACGACAGAAAGGGCAGGCUCAUUCCUGGCGCAUUCACAGCCAUAUAAGGAGACAUUGGAACACAGCGCCUUCAGAAUCUGGGGCAUUUCCUGUAUGAAACUUCAUCUUGGUUUCGCCUGUAGCAUUAGUUCUGGGGCACUCACAGAUAAUAUCUUUGCAGUUUUGGAAACGUCAGAGUUUUUUUUUUCCAAAGCUGUCCAUUACAUUCAUAGUCGAGCAUCUUUUCGUGACAAAAUAUCUUGUUUAAAACGGGAACGUUUUUUAUCCAAAAAUUAAAAGAGCGCCCCCUAUCUCGAAGAAGUUAAAGUUCAUUCGAAAUAAGUACUAUAUACUGUAGAAAGGAGACAUUAGAGGUGUCUUGAAGAUUACCUUUAGUAGCAUGACGUCAUAACUGAUCUGCGUUGCAUUCUCAUGUAGAUUACCUUCAGUAGCAUGACGACAUAACUGAUCUGCGUUGCAUUCUCAUGUAGAUUACCUUCAGUAGCAUGACGUCAUAACUGAUCUGGGUUGCAUUCUCAUGUAGAUUACCUUCAGUAGCAUGACGUCAUAACUGUUCUGCGUUGCAUUCUCAUGUAAUGGAUGCCGAAGGUAAUGGGACACCUGAAUCUUCUGACAACUCUUCUUCCACUUCUUUAAGUCGUGGGCUCCAAGCACCACCGUUAAAGGAUAAGCACUAACAGAUCAUCAAAACGGGUCACAAGACAUAGAAUGAAAUAGAAGAAUUCCUCAAGAGGCCUAACAAGAUGCAACAAAACAAACAGCAUCUGGAUUAAUUUGUUGUCUACGACAAAGAAAACUCACUUCCUUAAGCAGUGUGCUGAAGUCAGGACAAAGUCCUCCCAGAUGAGCAGGUGAGAUGGAGUGGAAAUAUCACACAUUUUAAGUAGGUUGUAAGUGGCCUCAGAUGAUUCAUACCAAAAAGCACCUUUUAAAACAAAGUACAUCAUCCAUAUGUCUCUUUAGAAUGUCACUCAUAUCAUUCAAGUCCCUGUCAGGACCUCAACAGGAACAAGAACAUUAUAAAUUCCAAACUGUAGUUGGUCAAUAAGUAUAAGGCUUUUCAUUCAGGGGGCGAUGAAACAACAGAGCCCCAUUUAAUGAAGGGAAGUGAAGUGGGCGGAGGGACACAAUAGGAGCUAAGAUGCUAAUAUGUGUGUAAACUACAUAGUUCUGUGAGUGUCACUGAGUAGCUGAUACCCAUUUCAUGGGAGCACAAUCUCUAGUUUAAACUGUACAGUCCAAUCUGUAUGUUCAAUAUGCACAUUGGGCUGUGUAGUGAACUGAUUUCUCAUAAAGUCCUGCAGCUAAAACGCUAGAAUUUGUGUAAACUCUACACAGUUGUGUCCUGUGAAUGUCACUGAGGAGAUAUCCCAUUUCAUGGGGACACAAUCCAUAGGUUAGGCUGUACAGUGGAAACAUUCCCCCCAUUGUAAAGUCUAUUACAUCCACAGUGGGAUUUAAUCUGUUUUUGUGUCGAUCUGUGUUAGUAUGCACUUUGAGAAACAACAUUGGUUUCAUUUUACUUUCUAGGAAAUCAUGUGACCCUUAAUGCAACCGCUGUGUCCGAUUUUUUAAAAACUUUACAGAAAAAGCAUAAUCUGAGAACGGCGCUCAGAGCCCAAAACAGCCAGAGCAAUAUCCGCCAUUUUAUUCACUUACCUUUGAUGAUCUUUAUCAGAAGGCACUCCCAGGAAUCCCAGUUCUACAGUAAAUGACUGAUUUGUUCCAUAAAGUUCCAUCAUUUAUGUCCAAAUAGCCACUUGUUGUUAGCGUGUUCAGCCCAGUAAUCGAUUUUCAUGAGGCGCAGGCACUUCGUCCAGACAAAGACUCCAAAAGUUCCGUUACAGUCCUUUAGAAACAUGUAAAACGAUGUAUGGAAUCAAUCGUUAUGAUGUUUUUAACAUAAAACAUCAAUAAUGUUCCUAAUUCCUUUGUCUUCAGAAAAGCACUGGAAAGAGAUGUAACUCUGUCGGGAGCGCGUCAUGAGACCAAGGCUCUCUGCCAGACCACUGACUCAAAGAGAUCUCAUGAGCCCCUCCUUUAAAGUAGAAUCCUCAAACCAGUUUCUAAAGACGGUUGACAUCUAGUGGAAGCCUUAGGAAGUGCAGCAUGCUCAUCCAUAUCUCAAUGUGUAUUCGGUAGGCCAAGCUUUGAAAAACUACAAACCUCAGAUGUCCCACUUCCUGGUUGGAUUUUUUCUCAGGUUUUUGCCUGCCAUAUGAGUUCUGUUAUACUCACAGACAUCAUUCAAACAGUUUUAGAAACGUCAGAGUGUUUUCUAUCCAAUAUCAAUAAUAACAUUCUUAUAUUAGCAUCUGGGACAGAGUAGGAGGCAGUUCACUCUGGGCACCCUACUCAUCCAAAUGUGAAAAUGCUGCCCCCUAUCCCAAAAAGGUUAUGCUAGAGUUCAUUUGUGCAACGAUAACAAGCUAGUAAUAAGCUAACUGAGAAACUUGGCUCCCAAAGUAACUAAUGUCACACAGUCGUACACAACACCAGUGAUGCUCUGUCUGUCUGUGGCCAUACGGCCCGAGGAAAGGUCCUCCUCUGUGCUGACAGGGUGGCUGAGGCUCGGUGACGGAGAGAGGGAGAGGUUGAUUUAUCUAUUCAAUGUUUAUUAACUUCUUCUCUCAUUCCUUUGUUCUCCUGGAGGACUGGCACCUAUCCAGGGAGCACUAAUGCAAAAUGGAUUAUGUUUUCCGCCCGCUGCACUGGAAGCUAGCCAUUCUCGUGUGUGUGUGUGUGUGUGUGUGUGUGUGUGUGUGUGUGUGUGUGUGUGUGUGUGUGUGUGUGUGUGUGUGUGUGUGUGUAGUGUGUGUGUAGUGUGUGUGUAGUGUGUGUGUGUGUGUGUGUGUGUGUGUGUGUGUGUGUGACAACCGAACCGGAGCUGUUUUUAGGAUACGCAGUGCGGAAAGACAGUCGGUGACAGUCGGUGACAGUUGGUGACAGUCGGUGGCAGUUUGGAAGUAAACUCUCUUCAGCUGGUGGUGUUAAUGAGAGACAGUGUGGUCGACCAUACAGGAUGCGUAGUGCUCUGUGGUCAAUGUCUCCACCUGGUGUUGAAAUAGAGAAGUGAAAUCAGUAAACAACAAUUGGAAAACCUUUUUUUCAGCUACUUUUUUUUAGGUGUAAUUAUAUGUGACCACUACUAUAUAAUACUUGUGUGAAUAUGUUGUGUAGUGAAAAAUAAACAAUAGGAAAACUAGGGAUAACAUCAAUAAACAUGUACAGCUUGGGCAAAGAGGUCGAGCAACUGGUUUGGACAACAGUUUUUGAGCUAAGCUCCCUCUGUAUGUAAACAGGAAGUACAAAAAGGGGGGGGGGACAACAAAGGAAUGUGGCCCUUCACAAAAGCAUUCUAUAGUCCUUCUCUAGAUGUAGACCUCUGUACUAAAGUAUGGUCUCUGGUCUCGCCUUCUGAUGUCUCUCUCUGGUCUCUCCUUCUAAUGUCUCUCUCUGGUAUCUCUCUCUCUGGUCUCUCUCUGGUCUCUCCUUCUGAUGUCUCUCCAUAUCUCUGGUAUCUCUCUCCGGUCUCUCACUCUCUCUGCUCUCUCUCUCUCUCUCUCUCUCUCUCUCUGGUCUCUCCUGAUGUCUCUCUCUAUCGCUGGUAUCUCUCUCUCUCUGCUCUCUCUCUCUAUCCCUGGGUUCUCUCUCUCUGGGUUCUCUCUUUCUGGUCUCUGAGGUCACUCCUCUCUCCACCCCCUCUCUCUGUCUCUCUCUUUCACUCUCCUUGUACUUGACAUUAAAGGGAGGUUAAAGUGGGAUAGGCCAGCGUCUGGCCAAGGGUUGUCUGGCUGGGAAGGGCUGGCUGGUAGAGAAGGGCUGGCAAGGAAGGGCAGGCUGGGAAGGGCUGGCUGGCAGGGAAGGGCUGGCUGGCAGGGAAGGGCUGGCUGGUAGAGAAGGGCUGGCAGGGAAGGGCUGGCUGGCUGGGAAGGGCUGGCUGGUAGAGAAGGGCUGGCUGGCAGGGAAGGGCUGGCAAGGAAGGGCAGGCUGGGAAGGGCUGGCUGGCAGGGAAGGGCAUUUCACGGUAAAGUCUACACCUGUUGUAUUCAGUGCAUGUGACGAAUACAAUUGGAUUUGAUUCGAUUUACCCUGGUGCUUGAGUGGGCCUGUGAACUACACUUAUUGGAGAAAGGCUGAUAACUUUCUGGCUGUGCUGCUGUCUGGCUGUCUGGCUGUGUUGCUGUCUGGCUGUGUUGCUGUCUGGCUGUCUGGCUGUGUUGCUGUCUGGCUGUCUGGCUGUGUUGCUGUCUGGCUGUGUUGCUGUCUGGCUGUGUUGCUGUCAGGCUGUCUGGCUGUGUUGCUGUCAGGCUGUCUGGCUGUCUGGCUGUGUUGCUGUCAGGCUGUCUGGUUGUGUUGCUGUCUGGCUGUCAGGCUGUGUUGCUGUCUGGCUGUCUGGCUGUGUUGCUGUCUCACUGUCUGUGUGUGUUGCUGUCAGGCUGUCUGUCUGUCUGGCUGUGUUGCUGUCUGUCUGUCUGGCUGUGUGUCUGUCUGUCUGGCUGUGUUGCUGUCUGGCUGUGUUGCUGUCAGGCUGUCUGGCUGUGUUGCUGUCUGGCUGUCUGGCUGUGUUGCUGUCAGGCUGUCAGGCUGUGUUGCUGUCUGUCUGGCUGUCUGGCUGUGUUGCUGUCUGGCUGUGUUGCUGUCUGGCUGUGUUGCUGUGUGGCUGUCUGGCUGUGUUGCUGUCUGGCUGUGUUGCUGUCUGGCUGUCUGUCUGGCUGUGUUGCUGUCAGGCUGUCUGGCUGUCUGGCUGUCAGACUGUCUGGCUGUCUGUCUGGCUGUCUGGCUGUGUUGCUGUCUGGCUGUCUGUCUGACUGUGUUGCUGUCUGGCUGUGUUGCUGUCAGGCUGUCUGGCUGUCAGGCUGUCUGGCUCUCUGGCUCUCUGGCUGUCAGGCUGUCAGGCUGUCUGGCUGUCAGGCUGUCUGGCUGGCUGUCUGGCUGUGUUGCUGUGUUGCUGUCUGGCUGGCUGUCUGGCUGUGUUGCUGUCAGGCUGUCUGGCUGUGUUGCUGUCAGGCUGUCUGGCUCUCAGGCUGUCUGGAUGUCAGGCUGUCUGGCUGUCAGACUGUCUGGCUGUGUUGCUGUCUGUCUGGCUCUGUGAGGAAUACUCUCCUGAUGCAUAAUUUGGAAGUUGUUCUUUUAAGCUUUUCAAUUGAAUUGUUUUCUUUUUGCAGGGACUUUCAGUUUGUCAGCCAGAGUUGGUUCAUGUCAGCUCUCCUCUCUAUCCUUUUAGUUCUCCCUCCCUCCCUUCUUCUCUCCCUCCUUUCUCUCCACUCCUGCGGCAGUAAUGACUAGCUUUCCCUCUGAGGAGAGAUGUCACUCUCGACAAUGAGAGCAAAUUGUAUCUGUUCUUUUGAGCUACACCAUUACCCCUGAAACUCACGUUGCUCUCUCCAUCUCUUUCCUUCACACUCUCUUUCUCUCCUCUCUCUUUAAGUUUCUCUCCAUCUUUCUUUUUCUCCCCCCCCCCCCCCCCACCGUUCAGAGACAUUCCGCUGUAUGUUCUGUCAGACAGAGGUAGAGAAGGAUGAGUCUGGUGACCCGUUUCAACGAACAGAUCGAGCCCAUCUACGCGCUGCUGAGUGAGACCGAGGAAGUCCAGCUAUCAAACAACCUGCUGGAGCCCGAGCCUGCCGAGAUCCCCGGCCUCUGAUAGAGUCAGUGAUGCCCAUAGCAUGCAGGACCCCUACCGACAAACGAUGAACAGGAACUCCAAAGAAUCAUGAUUCUACAAGCCUCUCGUCACAAGUCAUUCACCAUAGGGGGCUUAUUGGAGAUUUCAUCUGUAACUGCAAUUUAUAAAAUGAUAGAAAACAUGGCGAAGAACUGUAGCGGAUGUUUGGAAACCCUUCACAUGCCUGCUCCUGUCCCAGUCCCCCCAUGGGAAUGGCCCGCAGAGCCAUGGCAGAGAAUUCAUGUGGACUACGCUGGUCCCUUUGAAAAGCACAUGUUUCUGGUUAUAGUGGAUGCCCAUUCCAAAUGGCCAGAGGUGUUUUGCACUGACUCCUCCACCUCAGCUCAGACGAUAGAGUGUCUCAGAACAACGUUUGCAUGGUUCGGUUUGCCACUGCAGCUGGUAAGUGACAACGCGCAAGCUUUUGUAAGUGACGAGUUUACAAGAUUCAUGUCAGUAAAUGGAAUCAAACACUCAACCUCAGCUCCAUACCACCCUGCCACCAAUGGGCUGGCAGAACGCAUUGUGCAAACCCUAAAGUAAGUACUCCGUGCAGCAAAACGAGACGAAGGGACUUUGCAAACAAAACUGGCCAAGUUCCUGGCCUCCUACCGAAACACCCCACAUGCCACAACAAAUGAAAGCCCAGCCGCACUGAUGUUCGGGAGGCCUCUCCGCACACAGCUGGACAUCAUGAAGCCAAACAGGCGUAAUGAAGUGCUGAACAAACAAGCCAAGAUGCUCUCCAGUGGCCGGGAGCGCCAUCUCCAAACAGGACAGGAAGUGAUGGUGCGAGACUACAGAAGAGGAGGGAAAUGGACAAGAGGGGCCGUACACACACAAACGGGACCCAGAACUUACCAGGUUCAAGUGAGCCCAGACAUAAUCUGGCGGCGUCACAUUAACCAAAUGCAUUCCACGGAAAACAGCACAACAAUCGAGAGAGAACAGGCACAGAGAGCUCAUGAGAGUGACACACAGGGAACUGUAGAGGACGGUGGGGCAGUAAAGAGACCCCAGGCUGAAAGAACUGAACGUGUUGAUGAAGGUGCUGCUAUAGCAGAAGCUAUAAUGGUAAAAGCACUGAGGAUGUUCAGGAGCCUCCAGACAAUCCGAGGCGCUACCCAGAACGAAGGCACCGUCCACCAGACAGACUAGACUUAUAAACAAACAAACAAAAACUAACUGUUCAAGUUCAAAUUAAAAGAUGCAAAAUAACUACAACAAGUUCUGGGAAAUGUUUCAGUUGUGGUUUGGUAAAAGUAACUCUGAUUGUAUAAGAGAAGGAAUGUUAUGUUCUGUUAAUUACUGAUGUCCCCUUUAAGGAUGGAGCACCCUUGGUCAUGCGCAGUGUUGUUCUAUGUUAUUCUGGUACUAACUAGUUUGAGUAAAUGUGAAGCUCCAGUUCAA